CCUCUACCUUGAGACAUUGCUCACCUCGUUUUGCUUCAAUCAUCGCCCUCUUCUCUUCUGCUGCCCUGUGGAUUUCUGCUAUUUUGUUAUUCUUUUUCUCUGCAUAUUUGGCCUUCUUCUUUUCAAUCUUUUCCUCAUACUUCUUUAUUUUUGUGUCCACGUAUGCUUUCUUGGUAGUCUCUUGUGAUGCGACAGCUGAGAGCUUUUUGUGAGUUUUGUUCUCCACUUUAGCCUUCUCGUUUUCUUCCCAUGCCUUGAUUAAAGCAUAUCUUUUCUCUGAUUCAACCUUUGCUAGCUCAGCAUCUCUGUCAGUUGAAGUCAUCUCAGUCUUAGGAUCUGCAACCUCAUUUGAAACUGGGGCAGCAGUUUCUUUCAGCUCUCGAGCAGGUAUCGUCUGAUCUCGAGGUGGUGCAGGCACAGAGGAGGAGGCGUCAGAUUCAGCUUCCUUGGGAUCCCCUUCUCCCAUAAUAUACUCUUUGAACUUAGCCACGGCGACCCAGAAAUAUUAUAACAAGAACAACAAACGGAGCUAGAUGCCAAUUGAAAAAA
rnacentral:misc_RNA from 1 species